rnacentral:rRNA from 1 species
UACGUAGGGGGCAAGCGUUGUCCGGAUUUAUUGGGCGUAAAGAGCGUGUAGGCGGCCUGGUAGGUCAGCUGUGAAAACUCGGAGGCCUCAACCUCGAGACGCCGGUUGAAACCAUCAGGCUAGAGUCCGGAAGAGGAGGAGUGGAAGUUCCUCAGGUGUAGCGGUGAAAUGCGCAGAUAUCUGGAAGAACACCCGUGGCUAAGGCGGCUCUCUAGUACGGUACUGACGCUGAGACGACGAAAGCGGUGGGGGAGCGAACAGG